rnacentral:rRNA from 1 species
UACGGGGGGGGCAAGCGUUGUUCGGAAUUACUGGGCGUAAAGGGCUCGUAGGCGGCCAACUAAGUCGGAUGUGAAAUCUCCAGGCUUAACCUGGGAACUGCAUCCGAUACUGGAUGGCUUGAAUCCGGGAGAGGGAUGCAGAAUUCCAGGUGUAGCGGUGAAAUGCGUAGAUAUCUGGAGGAAUACCGGUGGCGAAGGCGGCAUCCUGGACCGGCAUUGACGCUGAGGAGCGAAAGCUAGGGGAGCAAACGGG